UACGGAGGGGACUAGCGUUGUUCGGAAUCACUGGGCGUAAAGGGUGCGUAGGCGGGUCUUUAAGUCAGGGGUGAAAUCCUGGAGCUCAACUCCAGAACUGCCUUUGAUACUGAAGAUCUUGAGUUCGGGAGAGGUGAGUGGAACUGCGAGUGUAGAGGUGAAAUUCGUAGAUAUUCGCAAGAACACCAGUGGCGAGGGCGGCUCACUGGCCCGAUACUGACGCUGAGGCACGAAAGCGUGGGGAGCAAACAGG
rnacentral:rRNA from 1 species